AUUGAACGCUGGCGGCAUGCCUUACACAUGCAAGUCGAACGGUAACGCGGGGCAACCUGGCGACGAGUGGCGAACGGGUGAGUAGUGCAUCGGAACGUGCCCAAUAGUGGGGGAGUAGCCCGGCGAAAGCCGGAUUAAUACCGCAUACGACCUAUGGGUGGAAAGACGGGGGAGUCGCAAGACCUCGCGCUAUUGGAGCGGCCGAUGUCAGAUUAGGUAGUUGGCGGGGUAAAGGCCCACCAAGCCUGCGAUCUGUAGCUGGUCUGAGAGGACGACCAGCCACACUGGGACUGAGACACGGCCCAGACUCCUACGGGAGGCAGCAGUGGGGAAUUUUGGACAAUGGGGGUAACCCGUAAUCCAGCCAUGCCGCGUGCGGGAAGAA
rnacentral:rRNA from 1 species